rnacentral:misc_RNA from 1 species
AACGCACAUUGCGCUUCCUGGUAUUCCGGGGAGCAUGCCCGUUUCAGCAUCAUCGGAACAUCUCCCCUCCCCAGGCUCCCCUUUUCGGGGCAAAUGACGGAGGGUGGGUUUUGGGCGUUUUGCUUGGUCAUGCCAUGCUCGUCGUGGCGGCUAUGCAAUCGCCUCAAGUCGAGGGCAGGUGCAACCGAGUCUGCCGAGUGCAACAGAGACUGAGAUUUCUAUUUCACGGUAUGGUUGCUCGGCAUGCACCUGCAGUCCAACAAAGAUUGGGAUCUGGAAAAUUUAUCCGGGAUCUCUGAUACUUGGUCUGAAAUCGGGCAAGAAAACCCGCUGAACUUAA